rnacentral:lncRNA from 1 species
GGAAUUGUACAUGCUAUACAAUCAAGAUGCACUAGACAAGUCACUGAUCAGUUGCUGGGUCCUGUAAGUCUUAAGUAUAUCCCUCUAAUUUCAAAAUCCUCACUCUAGUCAAUUUGUGAUAUCUUAACUCCUAUUCGAUUUUGUAUUGUGCAGGAUGGAGAUGUAAUAUUGUCGCAGGAUGUGAUACCAUGACGUAGGCUUCAUGGACCCCUCAAUUAUUUUCGAGGAUAAUUUAAGGGAUAAACCAAAAUGGACCUUGAAGAAUAUAUUUAAGUUCCUCGACAAGCAUUGGGACAAGAGGCGCAUAUUAUUACUGUGGAACUUCGAGUGAGAGUUUUUCCCAUCUCUUUUUUUUCUGAACUAGCACUUAAACAUAAUACUAACUACCUUCAAUUUGGAUGUACAGGUACCAUUGGGUACUCAUUAUUAUUAUCCCCAAUCAGAGCUUAGUGACUGUCUGGGACUCUUUGAGGAAACAAAAGGAAAAUUCGAUGACAUCAUGAACGCUCUGAACAAAUGCUGG